GCUUGGGAAAGUCUGAGAGGAAACCUCUCGUGUUUCGCUCUCUGCUCGGGAGGACCAACUUGUCCCCCUUGUAGGGGCCUUGCCGCCAACGAUGUAUGCGAAGGAACAGUAAAACGGAAAUUUUACCGUUCAACGGUCGCAAGACUAUUUAGAGGAAAAAAGUGUCACAGUUUGGUAAGAAGAUCCAAGGGCACGAUCAACAGCUCGUGCACUGCCUUGGUGUGGACCCAGAGUUCAAGCACAGACGAAGAUCAGACACUGACUUCACACUUCUGAUAGAUCCUGUGAAACCUUAGUAUAGUAUUUCUCUCCUGCUGGUGGAAGAGAGAAGCACAAGACUAAAAGCUCUCUGGUUUUCAGCCUCUGAUAGUAAGGAGCAUGAGCCCUCAGCUUGCUCGUAAAUUUCAGGACCUCUUCUCCUGCAUCCACAGGCAGAUAGAGGGUCAUCCUCAUCAACAGCUCUACCAGCGCCACCUCUACCUAGAAGAGUUGCUCCUCCUCCUCCAACUACUUUACCUAGAAUAAGUAGUAAACCAUCACCACCACCAUCACUUUUGUUGGAGGAUCUCUUCCUCCAGGAUUACCACCUGCUCUGUCUCAUGGAAUGAAGCAGAAAUAAAUGUAUAAACUUGAACUCUA